CAAGAGCAUAAUAAUAAAUAUCGAUAUUAGUAUCAAUAUUAAUAUAUUCUUUUUUUUUUUUUCUCAUUUAAUAUCUCUCCAAAGGAGAUUAAUAAGAGGAAAAGGUGGAAUUGUUGAAGAAAGCACGAAUGAGUACGAUGGUACUUCGCCAAAAUCCGAUGGCAUCGCGCCAUUGACGACCAGCCGUUGUCGCGUCGUCGUCGUCGUCGUCGUCUUCAUCAUCUUUAUCAUCUUCGUUGUCGUCGUCGUCGUCGUCGUCGUCGUCGUACGUUUUAUCGAGCUUUACACCCACGCACGUCUCAUGUCAUUUCUCCCGAUUGUUUUCAUUUCUUUUCUAACUCUAUCUCUGUCUCUUUCUCUCUCUCCUUUUCUUUCUAACGUCUUUCUUUUUACCCUUAACCUAACCUAACUUUCUUUUUGUAUAUACAUAUAUAUAUAUAAAUAUACGUGUGUGCGUUUAUGUAUGUAUGUAUAUACAUAUAUAUAGGGAUAUAUAUUUUUAUAGAACGUAAAUACAUCGUAUGUCUAUUCGAGUUAAGCAAAAGUGAGGUUAAGUUUUCCCUUUCUUAUCUUUCUCGUGCGUAAUAUAAUGUUAUAUAUAACAUAUCUAUACGUAUACAUGUAUAUACAUAUGUAGUUGUAUAUAUAUAUAUAUAUAUAUAUAUAUAUAUAUGAGUUAUAAGUUUAGUCGUUCGUUCUGUCACGAAAAUUCAUCUAUAUCUCUCUCUCUUUCUCUUUUACUCUCUCCUUCCUUCUUUCUCUCUUUCUCUCUCUCUCUCUCUUUCUCUUUCUCCAUCUUUCUUUUACUCUAUCUUUUGUUUUUUUCAUACUUUAUCUCUUUCUAACGCUCUUAACGUGACGUCGUUUCUCCUGAUCGAACUCGCGCGUGUGUUCACAUUGUGUUCUUUUUCUUUGGUGGUGCGUGAUAAAGAAUAAGAAGAAGAAUAAAAA